CUGAACCAGCCAAGUAGCGUGAAGGAUGACUGCCCUAUGGGUUGUAAACUUCUUUUAUACGGGAAUAAAGUGAGCCACGUGUGGCUUUUUGUAUGUACCGUAUGAAUAAGGAUCGGCUAACUCCGUGCCAGCAGCCGCGGUAAUACGGAGGAUCCGAGCGUUAUCCGGAUUUAUUGGGUUUAAAGGGAGCGUAGGCGGGUUGUUAAGUCGGUUGUGAAAGUUUGCGG
rnacentral:rRNA from 1 species